CACAGAUGUGGGAGAAGGGGACUUUUAACCUGGGGAUGUUCCCGCCCCAUUCAAGUUUUCUGUCCUAUGAAAGGAGUUCCUCUAAACUUCCACUAGAGUGAUUGAUCUUUGGUUUCUGACGACUGAUUUUUCUGUUUGUCCCACAGUCCUCCCAUAGUUUCAUGUGCGCUUUUCUAAACAAAGGAAACUCACCUGGGCAGUCUAUCUUCCCAUGUACCCAAAAGUUAAAGACCUCUAAGCUCCCAGAUGGAGACGUGAAAGAAGGCAGGUCACGCAUGUCGCUGCAAAGUUCUUGCCUUUGAAACCACGCGCCCUUGUGGACUCAAGGAGAGAAUACAUUCCCUCAGGGAACACCUUUAUCUUUCAAGUUUUCAAACAUUUGACUGACUCUUCAUUUUUCCAAAAUGACAACAUCUCACUCUGUUGCCCAGACUAAGUGCAGUGGCAUGAUCACAGCACACUGCCAUCUCAACCUCCCAGGCUCAAGUGAUCAUCACACCUCAGGAUCCCAAGUAGCUGAAACUACAGGAAUGUGCCACCACACCCAGCAAAUUUUUUAUUUCUUGUAGAGACAAAGUCUUGCUCUGUUGCACAGGCUCAUCUCAAACUCCUGAAUUCAAGGGAUCCUCCUGCCUCAGCCUCCCAAAAUGCUGGCAUUACAGGUGUGAGCCACCACACCUAGCCCUCUUAUUUUUGAAAGCAAUUAACACAGGUAUAAAGUAUGCACCAGAUGAAUAUAUGUUUAACUUCCAAAGACAAAUAUGCCACUGUUAUAAUCUUAUUACAAACUGAGUGUUCAUUCAUAGAGAUCAAAAUAAAUAAUAGAUAACAUUUGUUUGCUAUUAAAUAAUGCCUGUGUUUCCACAUGGUGUGAUAAUCUGCACACCUAUUUAACCUUAAAAUGGUAUAAUCGUGGAAUUGAUAAAUGCUUAUAAUAAAAUUUGUGUAAAAAUUUUAUACUACAGUAGGUAUAAUUACAUAUAUAAAC
rnacentral:lncRNA from 1 species